rnacentral:rRNA from 1 species
GAUGAACGCUAGCGGCAGGCCUAAUACAUGCAAGUCGAACGGGAUCUGAGGGUAGCUUGCUACCCGAUUUGAGAGUGGCGCACGGGUGCGUAACGCGUGAGCAACCUACCCAUAUCAGGGGGAUAGCCCGGAGAAAUUCGGAUUAACACCGCAUAAGAAUGUAUUAACACAUGUUAAAGCAUUUAAAUAUUUAUAGGAUAUGGAUGGGCUCGCGUGACAUUAGCUAGUUGGUGAGGUAAUGGCUCACCAAGGCGACGAUGUCUAGGGGCUCUGAGAGGAGAAUCCCCCACACGGGUACUGAGACACGGACCAGACUCCUACGGGAGGCAGCAGUAAGGAAUAUUGGUCAAUGGGCGGAAGCCUGAACCAGCCAUGCCGCGAGCAGGACGACUGCCCUAUGGGUUGUAAACUGCUUUUGUCGAGGAAUAAACCUAUCCACGUGUAGAUAGUUGAACGUACUCGAAGAAUAAGGAUCGGCUAACUCCGUGCCAGCAGCCGCAGUAA